GGCGCUGUGGUUUAGAUGGUUAAAGCGCCUGUCUAGUAAAAAAAGGAGAUCCUGGGUCCAAAUCCCAGCAGUGCCU
rnacentral:tRNA from 1 species